UACGUAGGGUGCAAGCGUUGUCCGGAAUUAUUGGGCGUAAAGAGCUUGUAGGCGGUUUGUCGCGUCUGCUGUGAAAUUUCGGGGCUCAACCCCGAACUUGCAGUGGGUACGGGCAGACUAGAGUCAGGUAGGGGAGAACGGAAUUCCUGGUGUAGCGGUGAAAUGCGCAGAUAUCAGGAGGAACACCGGUGGCGAAGGCGGUUCUCUAGGCCUGUACUGACGCUGAGGAACGAAAGCGUGGGGAGCGAACAGG
rnacentral:rRNA from 1 species